UGACUCCUCACCAGGGCCCUUGGCUACUCUC
rnacentral:piRNA from 1 species